CAUGCCUAACACAUGCAAGUCGAACGGAAACGACAGGAGCUUGCUCCUGGGCGUCGAGUGGCGGACGGGUGAGUAAUGCAUAGGAAUCUGCCCAUGUAGUGGGGGACAAGCUGGGGAAAAUCAUGGUAAUACCGUGUUUCCUGAUCGGGGGAAAGCAGGGGAUCUUCGGACCUUGCGCUAUUGGAUGAGCCUAUGCCUGAUUAGCUUGUUGGUGGGGUAACGGCCUACCAAGGCAACGAUCAGUAGCUGGUCUGAGAGGACGAUCAGCCACACUGGGACUGAGACACGGCCCAGACUCCUACGGGAGGCAGCAGUGGGGAAUAUUGGACAAUGGGCGCAAGCCUGAUCCAGCAAUGCCGCGUGUGUGAAGAAGGCCUGCGGGUUGUAAAGCACUUUCAGUGGGGAGGAAAAGCUCAAGAUUAAUACCCUUGAGUCUUGACGUUAUCCACAGAAGAAGCACCGGCUAACUCUGUGCCAGCAGCCGCGGUAAUACAGAGGGUGCAAGCGUUAAUCGGAAUUACUGGGCGUAAAGCGCGCGUAGGCGGUUUGUUAAGUCGGAUGUGAAAGCCCCGGGCUCAACCUGGGAACUGCAUUCGAUACUGGCAGGCUAGGGUAUGGUAGAGGGAAGUGGAAUUCCGGGUGUAGCGGUGAAAUGCGUAGAUAUCCGGAGGAACAUCAGUGGCGAAGGCGGCUUCCUGGACCAAUACUGACGCUGAGGUGCGAAAGCGUGGGGAGCAAUACAGGAUUAGAUACCCUGGUAGUCCACGCCGUAAACGAUGAGAACUAGACGUUGGGUUCAUUUAAGGGCUUAGUGUCGCACCUAACG
rnacentral:rRNA from 1 species